rnacentral:lncRNA from 1 species
CCUGUCUGUUGGAGCGAAUUGGAUGAUCGGGCCGAGGGCUGCCCCCUCUUCCCCUCACUCUCUUUUCCCUAAUAUGAACCUUGAGUCAUCAAAGCCUUUCUGACUCGUCCUGGCCUGGCCGCCCUACGCGACUGGUGCUUCAAAAGGCGAAACUCUCGGUCGUAGUUUGGCGACCUAUCUUCAGUAGGGGCAUUUAGUCUUUUGAUUAGAGUAGGGGUCGCGAGAGAGCAUAGCGUACCGCCCUGCCAUAGUCACGAGUCUGUUUAUAGUCGCGACUGUUGUCAUAGUCAACAA